GUUACGAAACAAUUAUCUUAAAUCGUAUAUUAAAAAGAAGGAUUGAAACUCAACGUUUCCCAGAUACAGACAUCCAACAGCUUCUUGACUUCUCUACCAGGUAAUACGUUUGAGAGUUAAAACUAUGCUUUAUUUUUAAGAUAAAUCCCUUCGUGCUAGAUUUCAUUUUUAGCAUGCAUAUUUCUUUGAUUUUCAAAUUGAAUGAUUUUUUAAUUUCAAAUAUUUAAAACAAUGAACAAUAAACAAAUUUUGGGGAUAUUUUGUUUCAUAUUGGUACAAGUUUUUUCUUUUCAAAGAAUUGCAUUUUUCAUCUUUUUUUAUUUUUAGUUUUACAGACCAAUAGACACAACAAUGGAUUGCCAGUCUACCGUUACUGUGAUUGUCUGUCUGCUAUUUACUAGUUUUGUCAUGCAAGAUAAUCCAAAGACACUAUGAUGGUACUGUGGAUUUCCAACGAAAGUGGGCAGAAUACGACAAAGGGUUUGGGAAUGUUGAAGGUGAAUAUUGGUUAGGAAACAAGCAUAUCCAUCAUAUGACAACUAAUGAGAAAUAUGAACUAAGGAUAGAUUUGACAGACAACAAAAAUAAGAAAAGAUACGCUGUGUACAAACAAUUCAGUAUUGGAGAUGCAGCUUCAAAAUAAAAACUAAGUGUUGGGAGUUAUAGGGGAAAUGCAGGUGAUUCGAUGACGUCUCAAAAUGGACUGUUGUUUUCCACCAUUGACCAAGACAAUGAUCAGAGCAGUGGUGACUGUGCAAAGGGAGGUGGGCCUUGGUGGUAUGGAAAUUGCACUUGGAGUGCACUCAACAAAGAGUUCAGUUCCAACCUAUAUUGGCACUUUUUCUCUAACCAUGUUGCCAAAACAUCUAUCAUGAUGAUAAGAAGAAUAU